CUUCGCGGCCAAAGGGGUGGAGUUAUGAGAGGUCUAUGGUACAGUUUCCGGCAACACAACAGCCCGAAGGUAUCGAAACACGGCAAGUUAUAUGGACGACAAUACAUCGGUGGCGGCCCGUGGCCUGGCAAUGUAGGCGCUGCACAUUGGAGGAUACUUCAAAAGGGGAGCUUCUCAAGCAUUAUCAAGUCAAGCACAGUAUUUAUGGAUGUGGCUGAGCUGAACCAAAACCAACUAAUCACCAAUUAAAGAAGAGAGACAGCCCAGUCAUUAAGUUUGACAUUCGUGCGUUACAUCUACAAUCAGCAGUUUGUUAGCUGGCCCUGAAUGGCCACAAAGGACCUCAUGAGUACAACUACUGUAUGUUUCACAGUUAUACUUAAGUAUGCACUUCAGUUUUUGUUGUCACUGGUUCUUUUGUCUCUUCUUUCAUAUCUCUCUUUCAGGAGAGGAAGGUGCCAGAAGGGAGGUGAAAGGACACCAAAACUGAUGUCCUUGUUUCCAGCAAGGAAAAGCGAUGUCAGAGCAACAAUUCAAGCACAGACGAACAUUCUACUUCAGAUGGAAUCCAACGUGAGCAGACAAGGGACGUUGUCAUCCGAUUCCUUAUUGACCAUCUUGCUGAACAUGCUAGUGCCCUUUUCAAGGACUUUGAGGAUGCUGGGGAUGGAUCAACCAGCAUUCAAGAGCAGAUGGCAGAUGAAGUGAUGGCGAUUUACCUGUUGCGGAAAGAUGGGUCAGUUGAUGUCGGCAUAGUGAUUGAGGGCAGCACUAUCCUCUGCACUCUUAAGGAUCUUAAGAGGUGGCGGCCCGUGGCCUGGCAAUGUAGGCGCUGCACAUUGGAGGAUACUUCAAAAGGGGAGCUUCUCAAGCAUUACCAAGUCAAGCACAGUAUUUAUGGAUGUGGCUG